rnacentral:lncRNA from 1 species
UUUUUCUUUUGAGGAGACGAGAAUGUAGAGAGUACUAGUCGGGGUAUGGAAUGAAGGUUCUAGAAAGUCGUUUUAGUAGUCCUCACUAUUUUGUAAAAUAGUGUAUCAAUAAUUGUAAUGAGGACUUAUUUGAGUGUUGAUAUUGUCUAGAAGACAAUAUUUGUUUUUAAACUCACAGUUUAUGUGUUGUCGUAUUUUACACGACAAUUGUAUUAAUAAAGUUGUAGUUGUUUCUGUACCAUGUAUUUGGCGACUCAGAAUGGGUGUUGUAUACCUAUUUUGGGGGCGUCACAG